rnacentral:rRNA from 1 species
UACGAAGGGUGCAAGCGUUAAUCGGAAUUACUGGGCGUAAAGCGUACGUAGGCGGAUUAGUAAGUUGGGGGUGAAAUCCCGGGGCUCAACCCCGGAACUGCCUCCAAAACUACUAGUCUUGAGAUCGUGAGAGGUGAGUGGAAUUCCGAGUGUAGAGGUGAAAUUCGUAGAUAUUCGGAGGAACAUCAGUGGCGAAGGCGGCUCACUGGCACGAUACUGACGCUGAGGUACGAAAGUGUGGGGAGCAAACAGG